ACAGCAGACUUACUGGGGACACGCUGUAGAGCUCCGAUGAUGGCUGUUGGCCGAAUGGAUGAAUGGCUUCAUUAACUUCACUGCAACACGCAGGAGUCCUUGAUCUCCCCCCUUGAAAGAUCCUAGUCCACUGCCUGGAACAUGGAAGAUGCUCCAUAAUUGUUUGCUGAAGGAACGAGUGAUAACCAGAGAAGCCAGCUCCUGCUUCCUGAUUAAGGCAUGCAGUCAGGCCAGUGGGGAAAUGGGCCUCAUGGUGGAGCUUGCCUCUGCUGGAAGACUGACGGAGCCAGGGCUCUGCCUGCCACAAUUCAUGAGCUGGCCAGAGGUCUUUGGAUUCCUCCCAGUCAUUGCUGAGAUGAGUGAGGAUUGUUUCAGAAAAUCAGGCCUCCUCCUGGGGAAUGUGCCUCAGCUUCUGGUCAUUCAAGAAUGAGGUUGGAAGAGAUCAUUCUCCUGUUUGCAAAUGAGAAACAAGUAUAGGUGUGAAGAGACCUGUCCACAGCCAUUCAACAAAUGAAAAGUCCAAUCGAAGAUGGGACCUGAUUUCUUACACCCCAGGUAUCUGCUCAUCAUCUUGGGUAAGACCACAGGGACCACCAAGACACCCAGAAGAGACACUUGAUUGUUUCCUGGAUGUUCCAGUUUUGGGGCCCAUAGAUAUAUGCCAUUUACUUUACAUGCUUUCUAAGACUGGUUGGUGACAUCAUUCUUGCUUGAUCUGCAUGGGAGCCACUUGCAGGUGGGCAAGUUGGGCCAGAGAUGUGGUGGUGAUUAUGUCAGAACAGGCAAUCUCUGCUUUGCAAUGGUGUCAGUCAGGCUUGCGUAGCUCAUGGGACCAGCUCGCAAUCAUGCUUCUCCACCCAGUGAUGACUACUUCUCAGUGGAACAGGUAAAGAUGGCACCCCAGAGAGACAAUUGUGUCAUCUUCUAGAACUAGGUUAUACUAUUUUUUAAAUAUAAGAAAAUCUUCGUAAA
rnacentral:lncRNA from 1 species